rnacentral:rRNA from 1 species
AGUAAACUUUAUUUUAGUUUAAAAAUUAAAUUUAAAGUUUAAUGUAUACAAAAUAAUUUUUAAAGAUUAAAUAAAUUAACAUUAAAUAUUUUUAUAUUGAGGAAACUCAAGUAAAGAACUUAAAA